CCACACCUAAAAAUCUAUCCACGUGAACCGUUUUGUAUGAGACAACUCGUUUAUUCGCUUUGCGUUUAGACUGGAGUUGUAUGAAGGUCCGAGUGUAUGAUUAUAUGAUACGCUUGGGCUGAUGUUUUUCAAACCCAUUAAAGUAUAUUUGAUAUCCGGCUCGGACGAAAGUCUUUGCCUUGAAAGAAUACAACUUUCAGCAGUGGAUGUCUAGGCUCGCACAUCGAUGAAGAACGCUGCGAACUGCGAUACGUAAUGCGAAUUGCAGAAUUCAGUGAGUCAUCGAAAUUUUGAACGCACAUUGCACUUUCGGGUUAUGCCUGGGAGUAUGUCUGUAUCAGUGUCCGUACAUCAAACUUGCCUUUUGUUUUUUCAAGAGGUGCAGAAUGUGAAGUGUCUCGCGCUACGUUUCGUAAGAGGCGGUGCGCGAGUCCUUUGAAAAGUACGGGCUUUCUCGUGUGAAUCGGUAUGUGAUAUGCUGAUGUUGUCGAUGCUUGAGUAAAUAGACGGACGAUAGUGUCUGACGAAUGACUUGGGCUUGGGCGUGUGAGAAUGUGCUCGAUUGUUGUGGUAUGUUAGGCUUCGGCUGAACACUAAACAACGUUUGAGUGUAUUUUCUGGUCCUUGCUGUAUUCAAGGCGUUGGUUGAUAGUAUUGUAUAGUUUAUUUGUUUGUGUGUCUUGAUGGCAUAAAGUGUGUUGCAAUAUUGGUUUGCACAUGAUAGAGGAAGCAUCAAUUUGGGAUUUCCAUUUUCCAUUUGGA
rnacentral:rRNA from 1 species